UGGGGAAUAUUGGACAAUGGGCGCAAGCCUGAUCCAGCAAUACCGCGUGUGUGAAGAAGGCCUGAGGGUUGUAAAGCACUUUCAGCGAGGAGGAAGUGUGAGUAGUUAAUACCUAUUUAUAUUGACGUUACUCGCAGAAGAAGCACCGGCUAACUCUGUGCCAGCAGCCGCGGUAAUACAGAGGGUGCAAGCGUUAAUCGGAAUUACUGGGCGUAAAGCGUGCGUAGGCGGGACAUUAAGUCAGAUGUGAAAGCCCUGGGCUUAACCUAGGAAUUGCAUCUGAAACUGGUGUGCUAGAGUAUGGUAGAGGAUGGCGGAAUUUCCGGUGUAGCGGUGAAAUGCGUAGAUAUCGGAAGGAACACCAGUGGCGAAGGCGGCCAUCUGGGCCAAUACUGACGCU
rnacentral:rRNA from 1 species